CCAUGCAAAUAACAAGACAACCCAAAACCCAAAUUUUAACUUGAUCCGCAACCUUCGGUGCUCUCUCACUCGCAGAAAUUCAGAAUCCCUCUUCUCCGCCACCACCACAUUUUCGCUCCGCCGUCUCAGUUUCCCGCGAAGCCACCGCCCAGGAGCAGCCCCAAGUUUACCACUUCAACGUCCGAACUUCUCUUAGGUUUUGCAAGAAGCAGAAGAAGUAUGGCUUUGACAAACUUCAUACUCACAGUUGCUGGUGUAGGCGCGGUGGUUCUUAUGCUGAGGAGUGAUGUCAGGCAAUCAGCUUCCAUCUUCAAGCGCAAUGUCAAACACAUCCGCACCUGGCUUGAGGAAGAAUCCCCCAAAGUCACCAAGGAACUGGAAUCAAAGGUUCCACCAAAGGAUAUUCCCAAGGACAAGCACUAGUGUUGAUACCAGCUUCUUAUGUUGUUCGCAACAAGUGACUACUCGCUAGUAACACUCAAAGAUGCCGCAGUUGUGACUUGACCAAGAUAUUCAGUCACCAGCAGAAGAAAUUCUUCCAUCCGAAACCUGGAGGUGGUAGUCCAAGGUGCGACGGACACAUGGUCCAGAUGCCCGACCUAAGACUUUCUCCACCAGCAGAUAUUACCAAAAUGAGAAAAGUACAAUAGGUAGAUAGGUAGAUUCAGAAGUGGCCAAUAAUUGGUAAAGUGUGUUAUAAGAGAACACGAGUACGAUUUUGGCAGCGUUAGUUUGGCAAGAAAACAUGCCCCCGUUGGUUAUAGAUGGUAUAUGAGUGGCCUGAUGCUGUUCAUAUAAAAAUAAUUUUUUACAUAACUAUAAUUCGAGACGAUACUAUAUAUAGCUUUUUUCGGUUUGAGAUAAUA